rnacentral:misc_RNA from 1 species
ACAACAAUUUCACAGAGAAAUGUGGUGUUGGCCGAUGUGUGUCUAGCACUUUGCUGUGCAGGUCCCACUUGGCUGAAAUGGAUAGGCCAGAGAAGGUACAACUUGGCAGCAGACUCUCAGAGUAUUUCCUAAUGCUAAACUAGUCUUGUCACAUGUUGAAACCUGCGCUCAAGGACCCCCCAUUUAGUCCGAACUGUAGA